UGAUCAGAUCUGAUAUGAUUUAGAUUAGAUCUAAAUUUUUGCAUAUAUAAUAUGUGUUAGAAAAUAUGCCUUGAAAUUCAAUCUACAAGAAGUCUAGAACGAGAUUCAGAAUGAUGAAUGGAGUCCAACGAGCCCAAGGAUAGCUCAAAUGGAGUCUAGACAGAGAAGAUACAUGCAAAAGAAGGCAAGAAGGUGGGCUAGUAGAGCCCACGGACGGCAGACGGGCCCAUAGGGCCGGCGGGCCUGCAGGUGCACGAGCCAGGCCCAGCACGCAGGCAUGCAGCCCUGUGCGGGCGUGUGCGGGCAUGCGCAGGCCCAGUCCAGCAGAUGUGCAGGUGCAACCCAACGCCUUCAUGCGAUCCAUGCGUGAUGCGGUCCACGCCCCAUGCAUAGACCGACGGUAUUUCACACCACAUUUCACAUGGUCUAUGGUGGAUCAGAUGGUAUUUCGGGCUGGUUUCUCAUGGCUCACGAUGGCUCUCAUGGACCAGGGUACGAUCGGAUAGCCUGCUAGGCUUGCGAUCAAUAUCCAAUGGCUGUGAGCCACUCCAAGUGAUCAGAAGAUGUGCGGGUCAUGAUGGGGCACGAUCUAAUGGCCAGCCUUCGAUCUGAGGCACGAUCGGAUGGUUUAGAAGCUACAGAAGUUUGAUCUAGAGUCUGAUUUCAAUUUGAGCUGGGUUCUAAGGCCUUUAAGAGGCUCUGUGGGCGAAUAGAACCAUGAACACGCAAAGAGCAUGGCAGAGAGUCGAGAGUGGAGAAAUCAAUAUGAGGGAGACUCGGCAGCCAUCGGGAGGAGUCCGACAGAGUGCCGAGUGUGUGUAGCAGGCAGAGUAGAUACUACAGAGCACCAAUAGCGGAUCGAGAGUAGAGCAGAGUAUUAGACAGAGCAGCUACAGAGAGGUAUGAUGUAGCGGUUCGCUCCAUAGGAAGUAUCCAGAGAGAUUGACCCUGGUACCUACAGGCCUGUGAGAGGAUCUCUUUGGAGGAUUUUGAUAGAACUUUUGUGAGGAUAGCUUCUAGUUGAGAGAGAUGUAUAUGGAGAGUUAAAAGUGGGUGUUCUCCUCUUGUACUUGUGUUAUCUUUCCUAGUAAAGCUUGCAUGUCCUAUAGAGGCAGCACUUAGGUUGUUCCACGUACCUGAUUAU
rnacentral:lncRNA from 1 species